rnacentral:rRNA from 1 species
GGAAUCUUGCGCAAUGGACGGAAGUCUGACGCAGCGACGCCGCGUGGGUGAAGACGGCCUUCGGGUUGUAAAGCCCUUUUCUGGAGGAAGAGGGAGGACGGUACUCCAGGAAUAAGUGUCGGCUAACUACGUGCCAGCAGCCGCGGUAAUACGUAGGACACGAGCGUUAUCCGGAUUUACUGGGCGUAAAGCGCCUGUAGGCGGUUCUUCAAGUCGUUUGUGAAAGCCCUGGGCUCAACCUGGGGAGGCCAAGCGAUACUGGAGGACUUGAGGGUGACGAGAGGGGAGUGGAAUUUCCGGUGUAGCGGUAAAAUGCGCAGAUAUCGGGAGGAACACCAGUGGCGAAGGCGGCUCCCUGGGUCACACCAGACGCUGAGAGGCGAAAGCUAGGGGAGCGAA